GUCCGAGUCGUCUAGAGGUUAGGACAACACGUUGUGGCUGUGCAGACCCUGGUUCGAUUCCAGGUUUGGACA
rnacentral:tRNA from 1 species